ensembl:lncRNA
UUAAGGGUUUCACAAAUAUUUAUUUCUUUAUCCUCUAAGUUGAACUAAAUAGAAAUUAUACAUAAUGGUACAAAUUAUGCAGUGUACAUUGGCAGAUCCAUGUGACAGUCAGAGACCCAUUGUCAAUGGUCUUUGCAGCUUGCCACCAUGUGGUAAUAAGUCUCAUAGCUUAUCAUCAGUGAGCAGAAACAAUAUGGCACAUGCUGUUAUGGAUGUGGGCAAGCAAAUAAAAGGAAGUCAUUUAGACAAAAAUACCCCAGUACAGUCCUCCAGCUUAUAACUAAGCCAUUUAAACACAAACAGAACACACUCAGUUUAUAAUGAAAGCCAAAAGAUAAUGCUAUCUUCCCAAGAAAAAUAAACAUACCAGCUUAAAUAACAUACUACAAUCAAAAGUUUUCAUUGGAAACCAAUUAUUUAUAUCUGAUUCAAAUGCAACAGUUGUUGGCCUGAAAAAUGAGCACUGUUUUUGAAGAAGUAAUUCAAAGUGAUUCUCUGCGGUAAGAAAAAGAACAUCAACUCCUUUCUGUCAUUAUGACUGUGGCAAUUUUUCCUGGGAUCUCAAAUACCUAUUCAAGGCUAGGUAAUAUUUGUAAUAUUUUAAUGUAUCUGUCAAGCUGAAGACAAUGCAUUUUAAGGACAACAGCUGCUGUGUUUGAUUCAUGCUUACACAAGCACCCAAAAUGAUUUACUGUAUUUUACAAAUUUUACAAAUGUUCAUAAUCACUAUGAGGAUUUAUAAAACCCUAUACCCUAUAGUAAAUAUUAAAUACUCGAUAAAAAUCUCCUAAGUAUUUAACUAACUUUAGGAAGGAAAAAAGACUCUAAUAUAUAUAUACACAUAUAUAUGUAUAUAGAAUUGCCACUUACUUAGCAGGCAAAGACUUUCUGUUCCCUUUUUUUUCUAGAGCUCGUAUUAGUGUUUACUUCUAUUUUUAAUCUCUGUUUCUCCGAGUUGAUAAAUUUGCACUGAAAUAUUCAGUAAUAAACACAAAAGAAAACAUUAACAAUAUAAAAGGCUAGAUGUGUAAGAGACCUCACAAAUCAUAAAGUAAAUUCCAUUCAAGUUAUAGUCCUUCUAGCUAACAAAUCUCCAUCUUUAGCUUAACAGGUGACACAGGACUGAAAACUGAGGUGCACAUGAUUUUAUGCCAAAGCUCAUUCUAUUCACAGGUCCUCUCCCUUCCCGGAGAACAUCACAGAGGACAUCUGAAGAAGCAGGAGACUGACUUACGUGGAGAUGUCCCUUAGGAUUCUCACCUGUGUGUUCCCAGAGGGCAUGAUGUCUGGGGAAAAUGUGCUGGGGCCAGGGUAGGUGACUAAGUAUGUGUCCUUCCUGAGUUCAAGAAAAGGGGCAUAAAGAGGACCAAUUCACCUGUGAUUUUCCAAGUUUGCACAUUUCUCAAAGGAGAUUCUACAUUUGAUUUCUAAUGCCAAACGGAACAAAAGGCUGAAUACGUUUUGUGGUAUGUUUCAGAUUCUCAAGAAGGACAGGACAGCAUAGGUUGUUGGUUUGUCUUUUGAAAAGGCAGUAUCUUAAAAGUGUGUGUGUGUGCGUGUGUGUGAGAGAGAAAGACAGGAUACCUGCAUGGGGGAGAAUACAGGAGGGAAAAAAGGGUGGGAGAGAGACAGAAAGUAAGAAGAUGGAAAAAUAAGUAUAUAUGAAAUUUAGUCCUCUCCCUAAAUUGUGAACUUGUGUCCUCAAAAUUUUAUCAGACUAUCAGUUAGCAUUUUAAAAAGGUUUUUUGGUCUUAUUAAAAUAAUCAUCUCAUUUUAGUUGAAACAGCUUGUAGAAUCAUUUAAUUCUUAAGAUUUACAUAACAGAAAAGUUAUUUUCCUCAGUUUUAUUUCUUAAGCUACAAAAUAUUUUAGCUUACAGUUAACAUCACUGCUCUCAUUAACUGCUUUUGGGUGUGUUAUUGAGAUGAAAGUGAUAGCCACAUAUACUGUACCUG